rnacentral:rRNA from 1 species
AUUGAACGCUGGCGGCAGGCUUAACACAUGCAAGUCGAGCGAGCGGCGGACGGGUGAGUAAUGUCUGGGAAACUGCCUGAUGGAGGGGGAUAACUACUGGAAACGGUAGCUAAUACCGCAUACCAUCAGAUGUGCCCAGAUGGGAUUAGCUAGUAGGUGGGGUAAUGGCUCACCUAGGCGACGAUCCCUAGCCUGUCUGAGAGGAUGACCCGGCCCAAUGGGACUGAAACACGGGCCAAACUCCUACGGUGGGCAGGAGUGGGGAAUUAUGUACCAAGGGCGCAAGCCUGAUGCAGCCAUGCCGCGUGUGUUAAGAAGGCCUUCGGGUUGUAAAGCACUUUCAGUGAGGAGGCGUUACUCGCAGAAGAAGCACCGGCUAACUCCGUGCCAGCAGCCGCGGUAAUUC